CUUUUGCGUGGUGAUGGAUCCCACCAGAGCACCCGCUCGAACCGCCGAUUGCGCUGAUGGUUCCUACCGACUU
rnacentral:ncRNA from 2 species